rnacentral:rRNA from 1 species
AUGGCGACCGCCGGGAAGGUGAUCAAGUGCAAAGCGGCGGUGGCAUGGGAGGCCGGGAAGCCGCUGUCGAUCGAGGAGGUGGAGGUGGCGCCGCCGCAGGCCAUGGAGGUGCGCGUCAAGAUCCUCUACACCGCCCUCUGCCACACCGACGUCUACUUCUGGGAAGCCAAGGAAGAACCCCUGUUCCAUCAGUUUGUUGGACACCUCCUGCGACGGGCAUACAUCGUCGAGAGCGUCGGAGAAGGUGUGACUGAGCUUGUGCCGGGUGACCAUGUCCUCCCGGUGUUCACCGGCGAGUGCAAGGACUGUGCCCACUGCAAGUCAGAGGAGAGCAACCUUUGUGAUCUCCUCAGGAUCAACGUCGAUCGUGGCGUGAUGAUCGGCGAUGGGCAGUCUCGCUUCACCAUCAAUGGGAAGCCGAUUUUCCACUUCGUCGGGACCUCCACCUUCAGCGAGUACACCGUCAUCCAUGUCGGUUGCCUCGCAAAGAUCAACCCCGAGGCGCCCCUUGACAAAGUUUGUGUUCUCAGCUGUGGCAUCUCAACUGGACUUGGUGCUACGCUCAAUGUCGCAAAACCAAAAAAGGGUUCCACGGUGGCAAUUUUCGGUCUUGGAGCUGUAGGACUUGCUGCCAUGGAAGGGGCCAGGAUGGCUGGGGCAUCAAGGAUCAUUGGUGUGGAUUUGAACCCUGCAAAAUACGAACAAGCUAAGAAAUUUGGAUGCACAGACUUUGUGAACCCAAAGGACCACACUAAGCCCGUGCAAGAGGUGCUUGUCGAGAUGACCAAUGGCGGAGUCGACCGUGCGGUUGAGUGCACUGGCCACAUCGAUGCAAUGAUCGCCGCCUUCGAAUGUGUCCACGAUGGGUGGGGCGUGGCCGUGCUGGUUGGCGUGCCGCACAAGGAGGCGGUGUUCAAGACCUACCCAAUGAACUUCCUCAACGAGAGGACCCUGAAAGGCACCUUCUUCGGCAACUACAAGCCACGCACCGACCUCCCGGAAGUCGUCGAGAUGUACAUGAGGAAGGAGCUGGAGCUGGAGAAGUUCAUCACGCAUAGCGUGCCCUUCUCGCAGAUCAACACGGCGUUCGACCUCAUGCUCAAGGGGGAGGGCCUGCGCUGCAUCAUGAGGAUGGACCAGUAG